rnacentral:rRNA from 1 species
UACGAAGGAUGCAAGCGUUAUCCGGAUUCAUUGGGUUUAAAGGGUGCGUAGGUGGCCUUAUAAGUCAGUGGUGAAAUCUCUGGGCUUAACCCAGAAAUUGCCAUUGAUACUGUAGGGCUUGAGUAUAGUUGCCGUUGGCGGAAUAUGACAUGUAGUGGUGAAAUACAUAGAGAUGUCAUAGAACACCGAUUGCGAAGGCAGCUAACGAAACUAUAACUGACACUGAGGCUCGAAAGUGCGGGGAGCGAAUGGG